GGCCGAAGCCGAGCAAGUUGGCGCCGCCCGAGGACAAGGCGCGGCUGCAGGGCGACGCGACUUCAACAAUAACACCGCUCCUCUACGAUCUCGUGAGACGAUGCCUUGACAACGCCGACUGCCGUGGACUCGGCGUCUGGUCGGGACGAGGUGUCGACCACUCAGGCCAUGCUGGCGCGAGCAACGCGACGGUCAUACACCGACGCCGGUCUCCAUCGACAAUUACUCCCGCAGGGCGUAGACCCUUGUACACCUCGAGAAGCUACUGGUCGUCGAGAAGUCCGAGCCGAGCGUGAUCCAUGCUACCCCAACAACAACUCCUCCAACACCGCCAAGACCGACAAGGCACGGCGGCGAGGGCGAGCGUGGCCACCGCAAAGGCUACACUACACGUGGCGCGUGUACCGACGAGGACACGGGCUCUGCCGCCGCCCACACACACAUCACCAUCAUCAUGCAUGGAGAACGCGAAGCGAAGACGACGAAGACGACCACACAGCUCAAUCGGAGGUAUCUCGCGGAGCAACCCGCGGGAGUAAUUAACCGGGAGUCUUUCGAGGCCCCGGGAACCAGGAGAUCACACAAUCGCCA
rnacentral:rRNA from 1 species